CCCUUAGAUGUUCUGGGCCGCACGCGUGCUACACUGAGUGGAUCAGCGGGUCAGGUUGCGCGAAAGUGUUUCCUAAUCUUGAAAUCCGCUCGUGAUGGGGAUUGACGGUUGCAAUUUUCCGUCAUGAACGAGGAAUACCUUGUAAGCGCGGGUCAUCAUCCCGCGCUGAAUACGUCCCUGCCCUUUGUACACACCGCCCGUCGCUCCUACCGAUUGAGUGGUCCGGUGAGGCUUUGGGAUCUGAGCAAAAAGAGCGUUUCGCUCGUAUGGCUCGGAAAACUCAGUCGAACCUUAUCAUUUAGAGGAAGGAGAAGUCGUAACA
rnacentral:rRNA from 1 species